CAAAAAAUGGGUGGAAUAAUAAUAAUAAAUAAAUAAAUAAUAUGUGCAAUAAUAAUAGUGUGUUUGCCUAAGGCAACCACACUAAUAAAUAAAUAAAUAAUAUGUGCAAUAAUAAUAGUGUGUUUGCCUAAGGCAACCACACUAAUAAUAAUAGUGUGUUUGCCUAAGGCAACCACACUAAUAAAUAUGUGGGAUAAUAAUAGUGUGUUUGCCUAAGGCAACCACACUAAUAAAUAAUAUGUGCAAUAAUAAUAGUGUGUUUGCCUAAGGCAACCACACUAAUAAUAAUAGUGUGUUUGCCUAAGGCAACCACACUAAUAAACGUAAAUCAGUGAACUGAAAUAGAUUCAUUAAUGGUAAAUGGUAAAUGGACUGCAUUUAUAUAGCACUUUUAUCCAAAGCGCUUUACAAAUGAUGCCUCUCAUUCAACAGAGCAAUUAGGUGUUAGGUGUCUUGCUCAAGGACACUUCGACACGCCCAGGGCGGGGUUUGAACCGGCAACCCUCCGACUGCCAGACAAUCGGUCUUACCUCCUGAGCUACGUCGCCCCUUUUAAGCACUUAUCUAUUGAUUUCAUGUGAUUGGGAAUACAGAUAUGCAUUUAUUAAUCACAGAUUCCUCAAAAAAGAAGAUACCAUGAAAUGAACAGAAUACAGAUCAGUAUCUUGUGUGAUCAUCAUUUGCCUCAUGCAACGCAACACAUCUCCUUUGAAUUGAAUUGAUCAAAUUGUUGAUUGUAGCCUGUGGAAUAUUGUCCCUCUCCUCUUCAAUAGCUGUAUGAAGUUGUUGGAUAUUGGUGGAAACUGGAACACACUGUCGUAUGCGCCGGUCCAGAACAUUCCAAAAUGCUCAAUGGGUGACAUGUCAGGAUAUGCCUGCCCAUACCAACACCCCACCACCACCAUGGGCCACUCUGUUCACAAAGUUGACAUCGGCAAACCACUCACCCACCCGAUGCCAUACGUGCUACAUGCCAUCUGCCCUGUACAGCUGAAACCGUGAUUCAUCAGUGAAGAGGAUCGUUCUCCAGUGUGCCAGUGGCCAUCGAAGGUGAGCCCACUCACGUUGAUUGUGAUGCCAACCUGCAGACAAAUCAAGACCCCGGUGAGGACAUUGAGCACGCAGAUGAGAUUCCCUGAGGCGAUUUCUGACAGUUUGUGCAGAAAUUCUACGGUUGUGUAAACCAACUGUUUUAUCAGCUGUCUGUGUGGCUGGCCUCAGACGAUCCCGCAGGUGAAGAAGUUGGAUGUGGCGGUCCUGGGCUGGCGUGGUUACAAGCUGGAGGCGGCUUAUGGUGGAGAAAUGAACACCCAUUACUCUGGCAACAGCUCAGCAGGACAUUCCUGCAGUCACCAUGCCAAUUGCAUGAUCUCUUAACUCUUUAGGCAUCCGUGACGUGGUGUUGAACAACAAAAAACUCAACAUUUUAGUGUGGCCUUUUAUUGACCCCAUGAUAAGGAACACCUGUGUAGUGAUCAUGGCUUUUAAUCAGCUUCUUGAUAUGCCACACCUGUGCAGGAGAUGGAUUAUUUUGACAAAGGAGAAAUGCUAGCUAACAGUGAUAUAAACAAAUUUGUGCACAUAGUACAAAUCUUUGAGGUAUUAGUUAAACGCCAUUAAAAAUGGCUGCAAAAAAAAGUGUUGCGUUUAUAUUUUUGUUCAGUGUAGUUCACAGUUUUAACUGUUUUGUGAUGAGCAUGGCCCAGACUAUAUGCAUACCCAAUAGGAUUUACGGUGGAAAUCUUGAGAUAUGACCAUUUAAGAUCAAUAUAACUGUACAUUGGAUUAUAUGUCAACACCAAAUUUAGGAGGCUAUUAUAGUGGAUUUUUUCAUAAUUAGUUCAUAGUUUCAACAGUUUUGUGAUUCACACUAUAAGCACUAAUUUCAAUCAAAUAAUGAUUCCUAUGCUAUAGUAUCCUCACGCCCUUGAUAAACGCAAAGAGAAGAGAUAGUAUAAAAUUAACACUACAAGCACUAGGCUAUUUCUACGCUCAAAGAAUUUGGAAAAAUGUGUUCUUAAAUACCAUAACUGUUUACAGAUAAAAUUUCAUUUUAAACUGCAAUAUUGUUUUCCCCAUAAAUCACUGAUUCAAGACGAUGGCCUUUUUUUGUGAAACCACAUAUCAAACAAGCAUCUUGAUUUCAUUGCCCCAAUCACUUAGGCUAGGUUGUUAAAGUAAUGGACACUAAUUAAGCACAGACAGAGGUUACAAGCCACACUCAUGUGUUAAAUUCAAUCUGAUUAUUUAGGAACACAACUGCAGUAUUUUUUCAGCACUAUUUUCAAACAUUAUACAUGGGACAUGUUUGUUUUCUAAUUAAAUGAAUGCAUAGUAUUAUUACAAAUAAGUAUCAAUAUGUAACUGUCUAGCUAGCGAUCUCUCUAUCUCCCUCACUAGCUAGCCAGCAAACAAGUUGAAACUGCCGUCCAAGCGUCAUUUUCAGACGCUUAUCCCUGUACU